rnacentral:rRNA from 1 species
CCUACGGGUGGCAGCAGUGGGGAAUAUUGCACAAUGGGGGAAACCCUGAUGCAGCGACGCCGCGUGGGUGAAGAAGCGCCUCGGCGUGUAAAGCCCUAUCAGCAGGGAAGAAAAUGACGGUACCUGAAGAAGAAGCCCCGGCUAACUACGUGCCAGCAGCCGCGGUAAUACGUAGGGGGCAAGCGUUAUCCGGAUUUACUGGGUGUAACGGGGGCGUAGACGGCCAUGCAAGCCGGAAGUGAAAGCCCAGGGCUUAACCCUGGAACUGCUUUUGAAACUGUGCGGCUGGAGUGCAGGAGAGGUAAGCGGAAUUCCUAGGGUAGCGGUGAAAUGCGUAGAUAUUAGGAGGAACACCAGUGGCGAAGGCGGCCUGCUGGACUGUAACUGACGUUGAGGCUCGAAAGCGUGGGGAGCAAACAGGAUUAGAUACCCGUGUAGUC